ACUCCUGUAACCUAAUGGAUAAGGCGUUGGCAUCAGGAGCCAAGAAUGGUGGGUUCGAGUCCUUCCAGGAGCA